GUGUGGGGGCACCGAGGGCUGCGGCGUGCCGCGCUGGGCUGCACCUCGCCUUUCCCACCCCUCCGCCCCCUCGGCAGGAAGGUCUCGCAAGUGCCCCCUGAUCCUUGGUGUUCGUGCGGCUUUGUUUACUCGGGUCCUCUUCCUUUACGUGCUCGCGUGAAAGUACACCCGAGGAGAGGAUGUAAGAAAAGGGAGAAGUCCAGAAUUGCCCGAUGAGAGGAUCCCAAAUAAAGCUCCACCUUACAAUCUGCUUUUGGAGUAAACAACACUGUAUAACACAACAUAGAUAUCCCAGCUCAUUUUUCGCAGCCUGUACCUAAUUCGUUUUCACCGAGAACUCACUAGAUGAAAGAACCAAGACAAGGCCUUUGUAGAUAAGCUCAGCAGGGUGCUCUGAAGCUGCGAAAGACACACACGAUCCAAGUUGGUGCAUUUGCAGCAGACCACACUGCCUCCUGUGUGAGAAGAAGAGAUGGUGCAUUGCAGCUCUCCACCUUCCUAUCUCCUUCUCCAGCUAUAAAGGCACUGGUUUUCAAGCUUGUUCCCUUUGCUUAGACACUGCCUGUUAUUUCUGACAGCAUUUUUAAGUUUCUACACUUGUUGAAGCCACAUGGCAGAACAAAGCCUUUUUUUCAUCUUCUCUGAGUGUUGUUUUAAGGUCAUUUUUUUUCUUCACAUUUUGAGGAAAAGGAAAGUGGCAAGGAAGAAAUGGGGCUCUGUGCUUAACAGGUGCUGGGACCUUCUUCAGAAUUAAAAAAUGGUCAAAUACGUAAAAGCCAUAGCCCCUCACUGCCUUCCCGACUGUGGUAUGGGUAGAGAGCAGAGCACACACAGCGCUGCUGCUGCUGCCCCAUGAAGCUCUGGUUAUUCUGGCACAAAGCACGAAACACCAACAGCAUGGCAGCAUGCUGAGACAAGGAGAUUUGGUGUUGUUUGCGUUGGUGCUGAAAACCUCCCCCAUAGGAAAGCAGCACUUUUUCCAGGUGAAACAAAAACAAAAAGCACAAAAACCCAGCAGAACAAAGCACUCUCCCUGCCUUAGAUUAUAACAUGGUACCAUGGAGUGCUAUCAUUCCCUCCCAGAGAUCACAGGGCCUAGCGUGCCUAGUCUUGCAUUUUUCUCUGCACCUUCCUGCAUAGGUUCUGCAAUUAUUGAAGCAUUCUGUUUUUAAAAGAAGCACCUGGAAGUAUUUCUCCGCUUAAAUAAGCAAACAGUGUUUGUGAGAAGCCCAGCACUCAUCGAGUCCACUUUACACAAGUAAAACGCAUGUGUCAGGGAUGAAUAAUUUUGCAGGAGUAAUGAACAUAACACUUGGCUCUGAUACAGCAUUAUCCACAUGAAAAGGGAAAGUAUUUCAAGCCUCCACUGUGAUACAGUGAAGACUUAAGAAGAAUUAUGAGUCCUGACAAAAAUGCCUUGAAGAGGUCUUUUAUAGAUGGGAAGUAUGUCUCCGUGAUCACGUUUCAUCAGCCUAUUACCAGAGCACACUCAGCUUCAGACACUGCAGGGAUCUACAAUUAGACAAGGUGACCAAAGAGUCUCACACUCAUUUGCACCGCAAAUGGGGAGAAGCUUUUCAAACUGAACAAAUGUCUUCACACACAGCCCCUCUUCAGCUGAAGCUGUGUUCAGCAGGGAAGCAGGGUUCUUAAUUACAGAUGGAGAGAAGGGUAAAAAAGGUCAUACUUCAAUUUUAAGCCUUAUAUUGCAGAGUACAGGCUCUUGACACCACAGAAAUGAAGAUUUGGGGGCCCAGAGCUCUCUGAGGCUAAUCAUGCCUUCCACUGACAUUCUGCCUUUUGGAGCAAAUGGUACUGUCUUGUGAGGCAACAUUUCAGCAUGGCAGGGCUAGGACUGCAGAACCUGUUUGUGUUUGUUGGGCAGCCUGCGGCACAGCCAGUGGCAGCAUGCACACAUUGUAACCCAGAUGCAGCUCCAGAGCCCGGGCUCUGUCCAUUCGCUCUGCCCGGGGCUUUCACAUACCAACAUGAAUCCUUGGUUCAACAAACGAAAAAUAACACUGCUGCUGCUUUUUUUUUUUUGUGCACUUCUUAGCAAAAGAGAUGAUAAAUUCCAGUUGGUUAAUUAGUAUUUGCAGCCCUUGACACAGAUUCUUGGUUAGUUCACAACCUGGUCCAUUGUUUUCUUUCUGUUUGUUACUUGAAUGUAAAUACAGAAUUCUAUACAUAAACUUCUUGCCUUGUCUCUCCUCCAAAUAUUUUCUCCGAAAUAUUGUAGUAACCUGAAUCACCCAGAAAGGCCCUGUGAAUAUUUCAUUUGGAAGACUCUCCAGUCCUUUGGCCAUUACAGAAUUUCCUGUUGAUACCAGUGGGGUUCACGGUCUACUCCCAGUUAGGGAUGUCUGUGAUUUAUGGAGUUCUUAAGACAAAGA